GUGCACUUCCCAUCGCACCAUUACCACCCCCUAACUGUCCUAGACCAUGGCUCCCCACUGGUCCGCUCCUGCCUGAGCAGCUGGCUCCUCUCUGGACUCACUGGCCACUACUGUGAAGCCGGCCAGGCUCAAGGUCCCAGGUGCUCUAUGACUCAGUGGGACAGGUAGCAAUUUUAUUAAUAUUUACUUUUAUACUAAACUAUGUAUGUUUGAUUGUAACCAAGAUAAGAGAUUAAUCUCUACUAGUGUUUGCUUUAUAGACUGAUGGUAGAAUGUGGACCUGAUUCCAGACAAGUGUUCUUGAUAAGCACGUGUGAAAUAUUAUUUGUGAAAGAGAGGAGCAGUCGGGUCAUCUGGAGAGCGUGCCGUUGGCUGGUGUGAAGUCACGAGAGCCAGAGCAGGAUACAGGCUGGAACACACACGCUGGUGGAAAGGGUGCUAAAACUCCAUGAUGAUUAAGAGGUCAGCACCCCUCAAGGACUCCAGAGGGGAAAAAGGAGAGACAGGAAGUGGAGAGCAGUCACAGCGUGCGGGGCAUGCCAGGGGAUGGAACAGCCAUGAGCUGGGCCUGGAAGGCCAGCUGUGCUAUGAGGCAUGCAGAAGGGAAGGAGGAGCAGCUGCACCCGAGGAGAGCAGCACUGGCAAGACGCUGAACUGGAAUCUACCCUGUGAAGUUGUUCGCUACUGGAGAAGUGAACCUACCUUGUGGACUCACACGACUUCAUUCUUUGUGUCUUCCCAGUUUGCAAAGCUGGCACCCUCCCUAUCACAGUGGACUCUUAAGGUCCUUGUGAAGGGGCUUUCUUUAGUGUCCUCAGUUUACACACAAGGACAGCAAGGCGCAGAGAGGGAGGGGACUAUCAUUUGGGUUUGAAUUCUUUCCCAGAAGUUGGCACUGAGCCUGUCCUUCUCAAAGAUCUCAUUGGUGGUGUAACUUAUUACCAGCAAGGUUGCCAACAUCUGUGUCUGAGAGAAGCCGGCCGAGAGACAACCUGUGCACUCACAAAGUGUUCCAACAAAAUAGUUUAUGGAGACACAAUUGCAGAGCUGUGGAGAGGGCUAGGGGCUAGAACCCAGGAACUUGCGGCACUGGGGAGCCAUUAGCACCAACUGUUAUGGAGUAAACUGUGUUCCCCAAAACUCGUAUGUUCAAAACCCAAUCCCGAUGUUACAGAAUGCAACUGUAUUUGGAGGUGGCAUCUUCAAGGAGAUGAUUAAGUUGAGCUGAAGUCACAGGUGUGGGGCCCUAACCCAGUUCCGUUUCAGAGGAGGACUUUUGUACACAGACACAUAUAAAGGAGAGAACGUGAAGAUGCAGGGAGAAGAGGGCCAUCCACAAUUCAAGGAGAAAAACCUGAGCAGAAACCUUGACCUCAGACUUCCAGACUCCUAGGCAAUCGGAAAGUAAAUUUCUGUUGUUUAGUCCACAGAGUCUGUGGUUACACAGCCGUCGUAAUCCAGUAUACCACCCGAUAGCCUGACAAGAUGAUAAAUUGCUCACUUCUCUCCUCCAACUUCUGAUCUGCUGGGGCUUCCCAUGGGCUAAACUCCACUGAAAACCAAAUGAGAUAUGGGUACAAUAGGAUAUGAUCACAGCAAAAACUCUGGGUAAAGGGUAGGAAGAUUCAUUCAUUUGACAAAUACUCAUCAAAUACCAAGAGCUAUUCUGGGUGCUACGGACACACAGGUAAAUAAUACAGAGUCCACAGCCCCCAAGAGCUUACACUGUGGCAUGGAGAUGCAGAUCCUACUACAUGCUCCACUAUGCAAGGGCCUCACUGCACAGUGUUGUCCACAAGGGGACAGUUGCUGUCUGAGCAUGACACAGCAAAAAAAAAAAAAAGAGAGAGAGAGAGAGAGACACUCACUCUAUCCGGAAGGCAGGAGAUAACCAUAGAUAGGGUCAACUCUGGCUGGCCCUGGAAUGAGGAGUAAGAUUUUGUGGAGAGACAGAGGUAAAUACAAAGAGCCAGAGAUAUACAAGAGAGGAUCCCUUUGGAAGGAAGGCCUUCGGGAAGACUGUAAACCCUACAUAGUUAGAAUCACUUUUCAGCUGUAGGGCCUCACAACACUGUUGUCUGUGUUUAGGGUACUUUUGUGCCUGAAGCCAAGAGGAACAAUGGCAAAAACAAGGUUCUAAAGACUUGGGCUCAAGCUCCAGUGCCAGCACCUGAUCCCUGUGUGACUUUGGGCAAGACACUCAACCCUUCUGAACCUGUCUUCUCUCUGGUCCAUGGAUCCAACAGGCUGUAAGGGCAUGUGGUGCUGGCCUGGCCGCUGAGCACAGUGGAAGAAGCAGACUACUUCCUGGCCCCACAGUGUGCACAGAAUGCCUCCCAUGAUGGUUCUCGGAGUGCUCAGUUCACACCUGCUGUCCCACUUACUGGGAUGUGGAGGGUCUGGGGAGCAGAAUAGAAGCAAUGUGUAUGAGCUACUGCUGUUGCUGUGGUGAUGACUGCCAUGUCUAAUGGGGCAUCUUUACUUCCAGUGCUCUCAUUGCCCCCUGCACUUGUCCCUAGCUGUAGCUCACCACUUCUACUCCACGCCUCUUGGACUAUUCAACUCCAACCUCUCCUUUAAGGCCGGGGUCCAGAUCUAUCUUCCCCAAGGAUCCUGCCCAGAGCACCUCAAGUUACAGAGGUAGAACCCUACCUCCUCUCAACUGUCACACCUCUGAGCUCAGCUGGCUCACACUUACCAAGUGCAGAAUGACAGUCUUGGGUAUCUUGGAGUAGUCCAGAGCUUCCUGGGUCAGGAAUACCUGGGAAGGGUGAACUUUAGAGACCAUUUUCAAGCCUCUAGUCCCUCCUGCCCAACCAGUCUACACGACAGCCGGAGCAAUCAUCACGGUCCUCUAUGAGUCAGAACAGGUGACUCUGCAAUAAAGACUUCCCAAGGCAAAAGAGAGUGCUGUUCUUACAGUGUCAGACCUAGACAAAGUCUAGAGUCAGAUCUUGGCCAAGAUGACCUCAGCAGAAGAGGGCAUGUAGUCCCCGGUUCCUCCCAUUGCUCCUGCUCUCUGCCACCCUACAGUGUCCAGCGGCCAGUGAACUGCUGGUUAGCUGAGGGUCCUUGCUUGUUCUGGACCCUGGGUCUCACAUAUGUUGUUCCCUCUGCCAAGUGCCAUCCUCCUCACCGAGUCCGUGUCAUCCUUCAGCCUCAGGCCAAGAGUUGAUGCCCGGAGAAACUGUCACUGCCCAGGAGGAGUGAGUUGCUGCAGGCGUUUGGUUAGUUCUCCAGCACAAGGUGCAUUUACCCUGGAUCCUGGUGUCUUCCGUGGAUGCUGACUUCCCCCAAGCUGUGUCUCAGUCCUUGUUGUCUCCUGAUGUCACCUUGACAUGGAGGGUCAGCCAUGACCCUCAAUAAGUGCUGAGCAUUUUGGUUGUUGUUCACCUUCACUUUUGUGGCUCUGCAUUGUAGCUUCGGUCUUUUCCUAUUUACCAGUGGAUGCGCUGGUCACACAUCCAGGGAGGGCUCAUUUCUCUAGUAGACUUGGGAAGACCAGGGCUUCUCCAGGGAACUGUGCUGUCUCAGGCAUUCCCAGCACCUUCAGAACCAAAGGUGAGUCCUUCUGUACCUCUAGAAAGUAAAACCCUUACCGGAGAGGAUGCACGUAUACAUAGUGUAAAAAUAACCAAAAGUCAUUCAGAUCCGAGAGAGGAGGACAAGACAGUAACAAAAAGUACUAGCUCAGAGUAGGCGCUCCAGCCCAC
rnacentral:lncRNA from 1 species